rnacentral:tRNA from 1 species
CGCAGAUUAGCUCAGUUGGUUAGAGCCUGGUGCUAAUAUUGCCAACAUCACAGGUUUGAUCCCUGUGUAUGCCA